AGUUUAUAUACUGAGCAUGAUGUUCUAUGGUAUGGAAUCUCCCUUUGUCUAGUUUUGAUAGCUGUCCUGGCUAUGUUCCCUCCCAGGUUCUUGUACACCUGCUAGUUGGCAAAGGAUGGGAAACUGAAAAAUCCUUAACUUAAGACAAGCGCUACUAAGCAAUAACUUAA